rnacentral:lncRNA from 1 species
UCAUUUGGUGAUCUCUACUCUAUUAGAAACUUAUGUAUUGAUAUGUUUUUCCUAGAUUGUAGAUAUCAAAAAAUUCACACAAUCACACUACUAUUGACUCUUCUUUUACACACUAAGUUAUCAAAAAUUGGUUUUUGAAGUUUAUAUGAUUCUUAAGAAUCUGUGUGUAUUUUAGUUUUGUGCAGUGACCCAACGAGGAUUGCCUAAAUUAUGCAAUUUCAUGUUGAGUACGAGAUCUUCUAAAUUGGGGGGAAAAUCAUUGCAACGAACCACAGGCUGUGUCGAAUACUUGCCACUAUCACAAGGCUUAAAUUUCGUCAUUUCUACCGAGUCAACUGUGUCAUUUUUGUCUUUGUUUGAUACUC